UUCUCUUUUAUCUUUGUAGACACAUCAAAGAGGUGGUGUUCCUGCAGGCACAGCAGAACAGAGAGCUGCAGGAUUUGUACAGGCAGCUCCGGUCUCUUAAAGACCCCAGGCAGUCUCUGUCCAUGACGCUGCCCCGUACCUCUCCUCUGCCUACCGCACCCCUCGCCAUCUCCCCGCGCAGACCCCGGCCCACCAAAGCCAAGCUUCGGCCCCGACCCCACUCUCACAUGGAUAACAACGGAGUCACACACCAAGGGAGUCUUCAGCAGUCUAGCAGUUAUUCUGGUGGAGAGCAAAACAGGCUUCUCUCAUACUGCAAGCCAGAGAAAUCCCCAUCACUGACUGCUAAUAGAGGUACUAAACCUAUAGAACAUGCUCACUACUGUUCAAAAGUUUGGGAUCAGUAAAUGCAUCCUUGCUGAAUAAAAGUAUUAUUUUUUUUUUAAUAAUAAUAAAAAACUUUAUUAAGCAAUGCAUUAAAUUAACCAAAAAUGUCAGUAAAGACACUUGUAAUGUUACUCUCUCUCUCUCUCUCUCUCUCUCUCUCUCUCUCUCUCUCUGUGUGUGUAUAUAUAUAUAUAUAUACAUGAUUUGAAGGAUCAUGUGACAUUAAAGACUUAAAUGACUGCUGAAAUUUCAGCUUUGCCAUCACAGGAAUAAAUUCCAUUUCAAAAUAUAUUCUAAAAAAAAAAAUGUAUUUUUAAAUUGUAAUAAUAUUUCACAAUAUUACUGUCUUGGUGUAUUUUGAACAAAUAAAAGCAGCCUUGGUGAGCAUUAGAGACUUCUUUCACAAACUUAUAGCUCUCAAACUUUUGAGCAAUAAUUUAAUAUCUGAGAAUUGAUCUGAGGAAUGGCAUUUUUAUUUAACAGUUCCCUCAUUUUGUUUUCAGACCGGAGUCCUCCAGCCCAGGCUUCUGUUAAUAGAAAGAGCACAUUCACUGAUGAGCUGCAUAAGCUUGUUGAUGAGUGGUCAAAAGAAAUGGUUUGUCCUGUUCAGCCCAAGCCUUCACUGAAUCAAAUCAAACAGAUCCAACAAGUGCAGGAGUUGGGCGGUUGGGGCCAGACUACUGAGACAACAGCUUCAUCGGGUUGGUUUUCCGGAGCCCCUUUGACUGCUCCAGUAUCAGUCAGCAUGUCUACAGUGGCGCCCGCCUCAUAUAGUACCAUCGGUGGACAAACUCAGCCACCUCUGACGCAAUUUCCCAUCACACCUCUCUCCCAGCAGAACACUCAUCUGCACCGCCAGCCCCUGCAGUACAGCCCGUCUCCCCUGCACCCACAGCAGGUCCAGCUCCUGUCAGGACCCCAGUCCUCGGUGUCCGGCGCGCCUCCCCUCAUAACCCCGGCGGGGCCUCUGCUGCCCCCCGCCACCAGCAUCACAGCUGCCUCUGCCCCCGCCGCCAAUCAAAACGCUGUCUUCUGCUCGUGCUCCUCCUCGUCGUGCUCCUCUUCCUCCUGCUCCACCUCCGCUCUGCCUCCCAGUGCCAAACUUCACCCCAAACCCUCCACAUCCACCCUUCCUUUAGGACAGCAGUGAGAAGAUGGAUACCGGUGUACAUCUUGUACAGGAGGGACACUAGUAGCAAGCGGUUGCGUGUUGGGGUGUGUUGGUAUGGAGGUGUAUAAAUACUGUAGUGUGUGUAUCUGUGUGAGCGUGUGUUUGUGUUGCAUUUUUUCAAUACAUAUCCUCUUGUGUGUUUCCGCACCGUCAAGUUUUCUAUCCGACUUAGUUGGACCUGAACUCGCCCUAUAUAGAGACAUUUUUGACACGAGUUAUGAUCCUCUUUGUUUUCAUUUAUCAGUGCUUCAAAUGAAAAGACUAUUUGAAUUUUAAAAAGUGCAAUUAGUAACUGAUAUUUAAAUUCAUCUUUUCUGUGUUGUUGUGACGUGGAUCUGUAUAGCUUAAAAGAAAUAUUUUUUAUAUAUAUGCACAGAAACGACAACAACAAUCAGACGUCAGCAGUGAAGCGCCAUCUUUGUAGAGCACAACAGAUUCAGCCGGCGGCGGGAUCGAUUGCAUGUUCCAGCGCAGAGCAUGGUAACCUUGCAACCAUCAUCGUAGCUACGAAAACAAUCGUUGUGCACGGAUAAGGCAUGCUCCUCAUGUAUUAUAUUUUACGACGAUAAAUAGCCGUAACGUUAUAGAUUUAGCCAAGAUUUUUUCUAGAAUAACAUAAAUAGCCAUUGACUAAUUCCUUUUAAGAUCCUGCAAUUGAUUCUGAGAGAAAAGAAAAACAAGUUCAUUUGGUUUCAAAUGAAACUAGCUAAUAUGAUUGCAGUAUUUUCCUCUCUUUUUAAGGUUUACACUAUUAACAUUAAUCCCAUGGUGAAGUGUGCAAGACUAGACGGCUGUUUGGAAAGCUCAAGUGAAGUGAAUGCAGCUUGCUCUUGUGUAUUUUUGCACAGUCCUGUAUGAACGUGCUUCCGUGCACACCGAACUGUUAUCUGUGAACUGUGAGUUUGCUUUUAGUGAAUGCAACGCAUCAGCAAAACACUGGCAAAAAGAUGUAUUCCUCAUUGAAUCAAACUUUUCAUCAGAUACUACUCUGGUGAAAAAUUACAUAUAUAUAUAUAUAUAUAUACAUAGACGUAACUGCCAAGCAAGUUUGGGAGAAAAUCCAGGAAUAGGUUGCCUUUCUACAGUGUAUUUUUCCUGAACAUAAAGCUUUUAUGUGAUUCAGCUAGACCAAGAUAUCAGAGCCCAGCCUUUAAAUCAGCAGCUACGCAACUCUGUUGUACAGCUGGACUACUGAGAUUUAUAAAGCUGUUGUCAGAAUGCAUUCUCCAUAAGUCUGAGAUGCCCAUAUACAGAAAGCUGACUGUGUUUUCUUUAAUGUUUUUUUUUUUUGGAAAAAGCAAUGGAAGGUUGGUACGAAUGAGGCAACCUGCAUUUUUACAAGAAGUAGGUGAGAGAUAGAAAUGUAUUGUGUAAGGUGCACAGGGAAUGAGGAACCGGUUUGUGUUGUGAAGCUUUUAAAAUCAUGCUAAUGCUUGAACUUGUGGAUGUUACAAAAAGAGGUCAACAUGGCCGUUGCCUACAGAGGGUUGCAAUCAUUCAGUUUCCAGUAUUUAAUGUCACUUUUCUGAAGACAAGACCCACCUCUUCACAGUAAACCAACAGUACAGUAGUGGUGAGUAAAAAGGCUGUUGUGUCAAAGAAAACUCCAGACAUUAUCCAUUUGAUCUGUACAAAUGGGAAAUAUAAUGGAAAAACCUCUGCUGAAGUGUUACCAAAAUGUAAUCUAAAAAGAAAGCAUUAUUUUUGUAUUUUGAAAGGGGUUGUAAAAAUGUAAAAUUGUGUACUGAUCAGUGUUGAGAAAGCUGUGGUUAUCUGAUAAGACACAGGUCCUAAAACAGUUUCUCGAGUUCCCCUGGCUUCAAACUUUGCCCCAAACGUUUGUUCAAAGAUUACAACAUGAUAUAUUUAGAUUUUUAGAGGGGUUUUAAUUCAAAGCUAGUGAUUGGAAAUAUUAGAAGCCAAAUUAUUUCUACAGUGGAGGUAUAAGUGUGGGUGAAGCUGUACAGUAAAACCAGGGGGACCCCAGAAUUACUUGACUGACCACCAAUAAUUAAAGGUUAUUUAUGUGAAAAUAAUCUACCGAGGACUAAACUCAUUGCUGGUGAUUUAGCUACUGUAAAUUGUAACUAAUUCAACUGUUGAUUCUAUUUAUGUUUUGUAACUAAUCAAAAAUAAACAUCAGAUGUUAAACAUCAAAGUGUUAUGGGUUUUUUGUCACCUUCAAAUGCACAUGAAAUGUUGUCACUGUUUCAAUUAAAACUGCAUAUAUUCCAACUUUUUAAUUUUUUAUAAUUAUUUUUUUUAAAUAUCAGCAUCAUGAAUUUUCAGCAUCAUUUCUCCAGUCUUCAGUGUCACAUGAUCCUACAGAAAUCACUCUAAUAUGCUGAUUUGCUGCUAAAGGUAUCAAUAUUGCAAAAGGUUAUGCUGCUUAAUAUUUAACACCGUUAUACAGGACCCUUUGAUUAAUAGAAAAAAAUUGUCUGUACUGUCUCUUUUGAUCACUUUGCUAAAUAAAAGUAUUAAUAUCUUUAAAAAUCCUACUGACUGACCCCAAAUUCCAAUACCAAACUGUAGUUAAUUUGCUCAUAACAUUUGUCACUUAGCAUAGUUUCAAACGGUGAUAACAGUGCCUGUAAUAUUCCGUGAAACCAGUAGAGGUCUCAAAAGUGUACUCCUGACAUUCUAAGCGCUCUUUACUGUGUAAAACAAACAAACAAAAAAAAAAAAAUCACAAGAAGACAAGACCAGUUCAACAAAGAUUCUUUAGGUUAUCAGUGCAGAGACAAAAAGUAGAUGUCCAGCUGGUUUUUUUUUUGUUUGUUAGUUUGUUUGUUUGUUUUUUAAAUAAGAAAGAAUUCUAGAAAACUGAAAAUGUUGACCACCACAAAACCAGAUUUUUCUGUCAGCUAAGAAAUUACUGUAAAUUCAUAUAUAGGCUUAUGAAGCGUGGUCUUAAGCGUUUGCUGUUCUCUCAGAUGUGAGUGUUUAGCACUGUACAGUGGACGGUCUGUUGAGAUCAGGCAUGUUCUGCUGCGGGUUCAGAAGUCACCAAACCCCUUGACAAUGUGCCUAUUGUGAUAGCUCGGUCUAUAUGCAUCAAUAGAGGGAUUAAGCAGUGGACAUGGCACGAGUACAAUAAUGCUCUUCACUGUGAACAAGAAACCCAUGCAAGACCCUCUGCGGAUGACGACCCGCUCAUAAAACUGCGGGACCCUGGCCAGAGUCUGACUGGAGUUUCUGUGUGAUACCUGCAGAAUUAUUACCACUCAGC
ensembl:lncRNA